rnacentral:rRNA from 1 species
GACGGACGCUGGCGGCGUGCUUAACACAUGCAAGUCGAACGGAAAGGCCCCCUUGUGGGGUACUCGAGUGGCGAACGGGUGAGUAACACGUGAGUAACCUACCCUUGACUUUGGGAUAACUUCAGGAAACUGGGGCUAAUACCGGAUAGGAGCUCCUGCUGCAUGGUGGGGGUUGGAAAGUUUCGGCGGUUGGGGAUGGACUCGCGGCUUAUCAGCUUGUUGGUGGGGUAGUGGCUCACCAAGGCUUUGACGGGUAGCCGGCCUGAGAGGUUGACCGGCCACAUUGGGACUGAGAUACGGCCCAGACUCCUACGGGAGGCAGCAGUGGGGAAUAUUGCACAAUGGGCGGAAGCCUGAUGCAGCAACGCCGCGUGCGGGAUGACGGCCUUCGGGUUGUAAACCGCUUUCGCCUGUGACGAAGCGUGAGUGACGGUAAUGGGUAAAGAAGCACCGGCUAACUACGUG